ensembl:snRNA U6 U6 spliceosomal RNA
GUGCUCAUUUCGGCAGCACAUAUACUAAAAUAUUGGAAUGAUACAGAGAAGAUUAGCAUGGCCCCUUGCACAAGGAAGACAUGCAAAUUUGUGAAGCGUUCCAUAUUUUU